AGAGAAAAGAAUGUUCCAGGAGCCCCCGUCCAGCGGGACAGGGGAGUCUGAAGCCCACCGUGAGAAACCUGCCCCGAAGCCCUGCCCGACUGGCUCUCCCCUUACUUUCAAAGGCUGGUGGGAUGUGCAGCCGUGGGGGAUAGAACCGGGGAUGCUGAGAGCUAAGCUGGGAGGCACAUGGGGUCCAGAGGAGAGAAGCAGCGAGUAGAUGGUCCAUGGAUACACGAGCUUCAGGAACAGCUUCAUCCAGGGUCCAGCUGAUGUCCCUUGGCAAAAUCUCUCUGCUCUCUUCGCAAGGAUCGCUGAAGCAGUGAAUUUCAAAGACUCCGUGAGGCCUGCAGCCAGUUACCAUAUUUCCCUGGAGGAAUCACUACCCCUGGCUCUCCCAGGGAGUGUUAGGCGCUUCUCUUCACGUCAUCCGUCUCAUGCACAAACAGACCAUCCAGCUCAGCGGCAAGCAGCGCGCCCAAGUCUGCAAAUCAAAAUCCAUUUGAAUUUGUUUAAGGGGAGUGGAGCGCAUUCACUGGUCCAGGCAUGUGCCUUCUGGGCUGUUGCGUCACCACCUUUGGAAAAACACGUGAGGUGGGGCCCACGGAUAGGCCGUGACUUGUCCCGCAGGGAUUUGAAACGCCGUGAUGGGCGUUGUGCCCUCGCGGGAGAGAUCUGCUCCUCAGGCACUUACCUGACAGGUCUUGGCUCAUCGGUGAUUCACAGUGAUUUUGCCCUCCAGGAUUUCGGGGGGGCCUUGGUGUCAUGAGGACACAUUUCCUGUGUCUGGAGGACGACGCAUUCUCGUGGGAAAGCGUGAGUUGGGGCAGAGUGCUUCCUCGUCCUGGCAGGUUCCCCAUGGUCCAGAGGCAGAAGCGCCGCGGCGUUGGUGAAAGUCUUCAGGACCUGCUGGCGCAUGUGGGGGAAGCGUCUGCGCAUUGUUAAUGAGGCUUCUUGAUCUGUCAAGACAUUUAACAUUUAAUACGUGUCAUUAAUGAUUCAGAGAAGCAGCAUUCCGUGCUCUUGGGAGGAGCACGUGCCAGUGUGGGACGUGAGCAUCUAGAGGGACGGGAGGGCCCUGCCUCCCUCGGCUCACACGGGAGCGGGGUGCCACCCCUCCUCGUUCCCACAGGCCCCGUGGCAGGUGCUACACACUGGGGCCCCACUGCAGACGUGCUUUUCUAUUGAAAGUCAGUGAGAAAAGCAGGGUUCUCAGCUUUCCUUAAAAAAAGGUAAUAGAGUUUUUGAGCAAAACCAUCUUCCAUGUCCCUGACAAGAGCCGCCUACAGUGGCUCAGAAUAUGACCUACAGCCCUUGAGGAGGGACUAAAGGGCCUUGACUCUGUUUAGUGGCCGCACUUAAUACUUGGUGUUGCUUGACUGUUUUCCUUUGCUUCUGCAUUUUCUCACUUCUCUGAUUAAACUUAUUCUCUGGCUGAAGUUCUUCCACAGACAGAAGGCAGGCGGAGCACGUUGUGUGGCCCGUCUCGCCUCCCGCACCCUUUACUCGUCACAGCGCGCUGCUGCCCGCUUACCUCCCACCUUACCGGCCCUUCCUUCUCGGUCUCCUUUUCAGGCUCAGCCUCCCCACUGCAAGUUAAGCGUUCUGCAGAGGUGCAUCCUGGGUCUCUUCUCUCCUCACUGUAUUUCUUUCUGUAGUUAACCUUAUCAUUCCCCAGGCCUUCGAAACUGCCCGUACGUUGAUGGAUCCCAAAGUUAUGUCUCUAGAAUAUUCCUACCUCUUAGCUCUAGAUUCAUGGGUCCAGUUGUUUCCUUGAUGUCUGCAUCUGGAUGUCUCGCGGGCAGUGCAGCGUCCACAGGCCAAAGUCAUCUCCGGUCCCUCACUUCAGACCUCGCUCAGCGUUUCCACUUUGCUAAACUGAACCACAGUCCAUUGACCUGGACGAAUCAAGAGAACCCAUUCCUUGUAUUCCCUUUCCCUGACUCUCCUCGUAUCCAGCUCACUGCUAACUGUUGAUUUCAUGUCCAAAAUUCCCUGAAAUCCACCCAGUUUCCUCGUCUCCACGGCCUCCACCCCCAAGUGCACCCAGUGCCAUUUCUUGCCUGGUGCCCGCGCAGCCUCCUAGCUGGACUCCUGCCCUCUGCACUCCCUGUGGCAGAUCGAGUGCUUUUUUAAGAAACAAGUCUGGUCGUCUGCCUCCUGUACCACUCUCCUUUUCUGUCUCUGCCUCAGCCACUGGGCCUUUGCACACGCUGUUCACCCAGCCCAAAGCCCUCUCCUCCCUCUCUGGUCACUGCUGGCCGCCCCGUGCCUCACCUCCUGGGCCAGGGAGCACCACUGCACUGUCCCCCAUUCCUUGUUGGCAUACCCUCCUGGGCCAGGAGGCGCCCCUGUGCUGUCCCCCAUUCCUUGUUGGUACUUACACGCCUCCUGUGGCCACUCACUACCUGUUGCUCUUUUCUGCUAGACUGUCAGCUCAUGGUUUGGGUUCAUCAUGGAAUGCACAGCACACGGCAUACAAUAGGGACUCGACGAAUAUCUACAGUAUAAAAUGAAAUACAGAUAAUAGUCCUUGGUAAAUGGAAAUCAGAGGUUAGAAAAGGCUGCUGACACAGUGCGGCUGCGGUGGCUGCAGGACCCGAGUCCCGGUGUGAGACACCAGAGCCAGGGUGCUGCUCUGUGUCUCCUCCGAGGGCGAGGCCGGGCUUCAUCUGCAUCUGCCCCGUGUUUGUGUUCACGCCCCGGGCAGGAACUGCAGUGCGCUGCUGAGCUGGUAAUUUAAUGAGCACAGACGUCCGUCCAUCAGACAGUCUGGUUCAGCUACUGUUUUAAGAGAUUUGAAGAUAAAUCUAGUGCGAAGGUCAGUCACUUAAAUCGUCUGUUAUUGUCUAUUAAGGAAAAUGUGUACAACAGGAUUAACAUGUAGCUGGCCCUCCAUGUCUGUGAGUUCUGUCCAUGGAUUCAACCCACCUCAGAUCGAAAAUACCGGGGAAAACAUUCCAGAAAGUUCCCAAAGGCAAAACCUGAAUUUGCUGCAAGGCAACUAUUUACAUAGCAUUUAAAAUGUAUCUACAGUUGUGUACACGGCUUGUACCUCAUUUUAGGUUUUAUGAGAUCUGGAGAUGAUUUAAAGCAUGGAAGGAGGGGCAUAGUUAUACGCAAAUGCUAUGCCAGUGUCUAUAAAGGACCUGAGCACCUGUGGAUUUCGGUGUCCUUGGGGGGGUCCUGGAACCAAUCCCUGUGGAUACUGAGGGACCGCUGCAAUUCACAAUAAAACAUGGAAAAAGAUAUUUAUUUUUCGAGACACUGAACCAUUUAGUUGUUACAAGUAUACAUACAUUUUAAGAAGCAGUAAUUAUAAUGUAGACAAGCUUUUUAUUCUCACAGUUAAUUAUAAUUGUGAAAGGCAGGGUUAUCGCAUGGAGAGUCACCAGAUCACAUCCCCCGCAGAUUAAGUUGUAUCAUUAAAGUGUACCCACCGCCUCCUUAUUUGUCUGAUUUUUUUUUUUUAAUACUUGUGCUCUAAAAACACGGAAGUCAGAGAUAUGGGAACAUAUGUAUAUGUGUAACUGAUGCACUUUGUUAUAAAGCAGAAACUAACACACCAUUGUAAAGCAAUUA